ACUCUGCAACGGCUUCCCACAGGAAGGGGAGCGGGGUCAGAGAAAGGUCAAAUCAUUGAGACUACAACCAGCUGGACCUUGGAGAAUAACAGGAGCCUUUGUUCCCACCUGGGCUGUCCUCAGCAUCCUGGCCUCCUCAUCUGUGACACAGCAAGGGUGCAAUUGGAACACAAGGCUUCCUGCGUUGUCUGACCCAGAGGACACUCCAGACAUACAGCUUAGCUUCCACGACUCAGUUACAGGGGUGCCUUGUGGGGAUGUCCAAGUCUCUCCGUUUCACCCACUGUGGUUCCUACCUCUGUAAGAUGGAAGCAUGUGUGGUGGCGAUGCUUGUGAGAGUUCCCAGAGCUGAUAGCUGAGGCAGGCAGUACAAUCGCUCCUCAGAAAAGUCCACUCUGAACCCCGUACCUGUGACUGCAGCACCUUGUGUGGGAGACGUGGCCAUUCAGGAUCUUGAGGUAUAGGAAGAUGGCCCAGAAUCAUACAGAUGUUGAACUCUCAGCUCCUUCUCCAGAACCAUGUCUGCCUGCAUGCCAUCAUGUUUCCCGCCAUGAUGAAAAUGGACUGAACCUCCAAACUAAAUACCGCAGGAGAAAGAGGAAACCAUGGAAAGAGAACGCUGCUCUUCCCAGACUCUCAAUCCGAAACUCAGCUGCUGUCUCCACAGGCUUCUCCAGGCUGCUUCUGCUGGAUGCUGUAAGCCCUGGUUUGAUGAGGUUACCCUUUGUUUGCUCUCUCAAUCUGGCCACUCCAGUUGUCCACGAUGUGUGUUGUUAGCUCCUGAUGGGAUGGUGUUUGCGGCCUCUCUAUCUGCUCCUUGCUAUUUGUUUAUGCACUUCUGUUUGCUGUGCACUUAAUAAAUUCACUCAUUCAAAAUUGAAA